AAGUCGUAACAAGGUUUCCGUAGGUGAACCUGCGGAAGGAUCAUUAUCACGUAUCCACGUACUAACUCCUGUGAACCACACCCCUUGGGUGCGAGGUGGUGAAGACAUUAUCCUUUUGUAUCGUGAUUUAAGGACGUAGUCUUCAUCUGGCGUCAAAGCCGAGCCUCGAACUCUUGGGCGUAUUUAAACCGCGAUAUUUUAACCUUUUUAUUCACAACUUGUACCUUCUGAACUGAAAAUGUUUCUUGUUUUUUGCUCCGCAAGGACAAAAACUUCGAAAUAAGUUACGAAACGCUAAACAACUCUUAGCAACGGAUAUCUUGGUUCCCAUAACGAUGAAGAACGCAGC
rnacentral:misc_RNA from 1 species